rnacentral:rRNA from 1 species
CACGUAGGGUGCGAGCGUUGUCCGGAAUUAUUGGGCGUAAAGAGCUCGUAGGUGGCCUGUCGCGUCGGCUGUGAAAACUCGGGGCUCAACUCCGAGCUUGCAGUCGAUACGGGCAGGCUAGAGUUCGGCAGGGGAGACUGGAAUUCCUGGUGUAGCGGUGAAAUGCGCAGAUAUCAGGAAGAACACCCGUGGCGAAGGCGGCUCUCUGGAACGCAACUGACGCUGAGACGCGAAAGCGUGGGGAGCAAACAGG